rnacentral:piRNA from 1 species
UGCAAGAACUGUUCGAUUCGC